AGAGCGAACGCUGGCGGCAGGCUUAACACAUGCAAGUCGAGCGGAUGUAGCAAUACAUCAGCGGCAGACGGGAUAGUAACACGUGGGAACGCGCCCUUUGGUUCGGAAUAACUCAGGGAAACUUGAGCUAAUACCGGAUAAGCCCUUACGGGGAAAGAUUUAUCGCCAAAGGAACGGCCCGCGUCCGAUUAGCUAGUUGGUGAGGUAAUGGCUCACCAAGGCGACGAUCGGUAGCUGGUCUGAGAGGAUGACCAGCAUCACUGGGACUGAGACACGGCCCAGACUCCUACGGGAGGCAGCAGUGGGGAAUAUUGGACAAUGGGCGCAAGCCUGAUCCAGCAAUGCCGCGUGAGUGAUGAAGGCCUUAGGGUUGUAAAGCUCUUUCGCCGCGACGAUGAUGACGGUAGCGGGAGAAGAAGCCCGGCUAACUUCGUGCCAGCAGCCGC
rnacentral:rRNA from 1 species